UACGUAGGGUGCGAGCGUUGUCCGGAAUUACUGGGCGUAAAGAGCUCGUAGGUGGUUUGUCGCGUUGUUCGUGAAAACCGGGGCUUAACCCUCGGCGUGCAGGCGAUACGGGCAGACUUGAGUACUGCAGGGGAGACUGGAAUUCCUGGUGUAGCGGUGGAAUGCGCAGAUAUCAGGAGGAACACCGGUGGCGAAGGCGGGUCUCUGGGCAGUAACUGACGCUGAGGAGCGAAAGCGUGGGGAGCGAACAGG
rnacentral:rRNA from 1 species